rnacentral:rRNA from 1 species
UACAAAGGGGGCUAGCGUUGCUCGGAAUCACUGGGCGUAAAGCGCACGUAGGCGGCUUUUUAAGUCAGGGGUGAAAUCCUGGAGCUCAACUCCAGAACUGCCUUUGAUACUGAGAAGCUUGAGUCCGGGAGAGGUGAGUGGAACUGCGAGUGUAGAGGUGAAAUUCGUAGAUAUUCGCAAGAACACCAGUGGCGAAGGCGGCUCACUGGCCCGGUACUGACGCUGAGGUGCGAAAGCGUGGGGAGCAAACAGG